rnacentral:lncRNA from 1 species
AAAUCUAUUUGGGAUUCGUGUGAUAUCAUUAUAAUAGAGCAGACUUUUGUGCAUUAAAUUUUCUCUCCUGCUCAACUAAGUUUGAUGGAAUGAAUAUAAGUUCACUCUUCACCAACUGUAAUUUCUACUCUUUAUAAAUUCUUUUAUUUACGUAUUAACUCUUACAGACUUAUUAAGAAUGAAAAUGCUUUUUGUUUGCUUCAAAGAUUCUAAACUUAUCCCCUGAUUUGAUCAAUAUUUGUUCAUGAACAUAAAAGAGAUUAUCAGUAACUCUAUUUAUGUUUAUUGAUAUGAUAUGGAAAGAAAUUAAAAAAAAAAAUACUGUUGUUAUCUUACUGAGGGUAUAGUAAUAUAUCAUUUUUUUUUUUAUUUGAUAGUUUGAUGGCAAUUUUCCUUUUCACCAAGCAGAUAACACCUUAUGUGUUUAUAAAAUUAUUGUGAGAAAAUAAUUUUUAUGGUUAAUACUUAUUACAUAAUAAGGCUCUGGUCUAUUUUAGAAUUAUGUGUUUCAUGCAUGUUUGAUUUAUAUAU